GAACUCACUUCCAAUUUUUUUCAGAGAUGAUUCCAAAAAAAGACGUCGCAGUCAAGAUUGCACUGAACCUUCCUAUCCUCCUGUAACUCCAAGCAAGCGGGAGAGAGUUUACGACUCAAGAACCGGCAUUGAGGGGAACACAAAAUGAAGGUAACCAAAUACCAGUCAUCUAAGGAGCGUCGCCUUUAUUUGACUUUGCCCAUCUGUGGCAAGUUCACACU